UCCGAGUUGACCCCGGCAGUCUCCCAUGAGUCCCCACCAUUACGUGCUGGCAACAUGGAACGAGGGUUGCGCUCGUUGCGGGACUUAACCCAACAUCUCACGACACGAGCUGACGACAACCAUGCACCACCUGUGCACGGCCCUUACGGACCCACCAUCUCUGGAGGAUUUCCGUGCAUGUCAAGCCUAGGUAAGGUUCUUCGCGUUGCGUCGAAUUAAGCAACAUGCUCCACCGCUUGUGCAGGCCCCCGUCAAUUUCUUUGAGUUUUAGUCUUGCGACCGUACUUCCCAGGCGGGAUACUUAAUGUGUGAACUUUGGCACGGACGGAGUCGACACCGCCCACACCUAGCACCCAUCGUUUACGGCGUGGACUAC
rnacentral:misc_RNA from 1 species